rnacentral:sRNA from 1 species
ACUUGCGGGAGCUUGCUCCCAAAAGUUAGCGGCGGACGGGUGAGUAACACGUGGGCAACCUGCCUAUAAGACUGGGAUAACUUCGGGAAACCGGAGCUAAUACCGGAUCAUUCUUUUCUACGCAUGUAGGAAAGCUGAAAGACGGCUUACGCUGUCACUUAUAGAUGGGCCCGCGGCGCAUUAGCUAGUUGGUGAGGUAUUUUCUCACCAAGGCCAGGAUACGUAGCCGACCUGAGAGGGUGAUCGGCCACACUGGGACUGACUUCUGGCCCAGAGAACUACGGGAGGCAGCAGUCGAGCUUGCUGUAACUCGACGCCAUCCGG